rnacentral:rRNA from 1 species
UGAAGCUGGAAUUGCUAGUAAUGGCAGGUCAGCAUACUGCCGUGAAUACGUUCCCGGGCCUUGUACACACCGCCCGUCACACCAUGAGAGUUGGAAAUACCCGAAGCCUGUGAGCUAACUUAAAGAGGCAGCAGUCGAAGGUAGAGCCAAUGAUUGGGGUGAAGUCGUAACAAGGUACC